rnacentral:rRNA from 1 species
UGGGGAAUUUUGGACAAUGGGCGAAAGCCUGAUCCAGCCAUGCCGCGUGUGUGAAGAAGGUCUUCGGAUUGUAAAGCACUUUAAGUUGGGAGGAAGGGUACUUACCUAAUACGUGAGUAUUUUGACGUUACCGACAGAAUAAGCACCGGCUAACUCUGUGCCAGCAGCCGCGGUAAUACAGAGGGUGCAAGCGUUAAUCGGAAUUACUGGGCGUAAAGCGCGCGUAGGUGGUUUGUUAAGUUGGAUGUGAAAGCCCCGGGCUCAACCUGGGAACUGCAUCCAAAAAUGGCAAGCUAGGGUAUGGUAGAGGGCGGUGGAAUUUCCUGUGUAGCGGUGAAAUGCGUAGAUAUAGGAAGGAACACCAGUUGCGAAGGCGACCACCUGGACUGAUACUGACACUGAGGUGCGAAAGCGUGGGGAGCAAACA